rnacentral:rRNA from 1 species
CCUACGGGAGGCAGCAGUAGGGAAUCUUUCACAAUGGGCGAAAGCCUGAUGGAGCAACGCCGCGUGCAGGAUGAAGGCCUUCGGGUUGUAAACUGCUUUUAUAAGCGAGAAAUAUGAUGGUAACUUUUGAAUAAGGAUCGGCUAACUACGUGCCAGCAGCCGCGGUCAUACGUAGGAUCCGAGCAUUAUCCGGAGUGACAGGGGGUACAGAGUUGCGUUGGUGGCAUAAUAAGUAGCUAGUGAAAUCUGGUGGCUCAACCAUUCAGACUAUUAGCUAAACUGGUAAGCUCGAGACCGUUAGGGGUAACUGGAAGUUCUAGUGUAGGAGUGAAAUGCGUAGAUAUUAGAAAGAACACCGAUAGCGUAGGCAGGUUACUGGGACGGUUCUGACACUGAGGCACGAAAGCGUAGGGAGCAAACGGGAUUAGAUACCCUAGUAGUC